CCCAUAUAAUACCAGAACUCUUUUCAGGAAACACUUACUGUAGAUUAGUACAGUAAAUGCUUUUUUCACUCAUGUGUACGUCAGUACUAAAUGAUUUUAAAUUAUAAACCGUGUCAGUAAUGGUACGAGUAAAUAGAUCAAUUUAGCAUCAAGGAUCUGGUAUGUAAAUAAUUUACUCUACCCAUAAUGCACUUUGGUUCUUACAGUUUUUUCAUAUGUGCCAAAAAUAUCACACAGAGCUAAUGGAGGACGUCACAGUGAAAACAGAUUAUCUUAGGACUGUUUUAAACCGAUUUUUACUGCUCCCUUCAUGUCAUCAAGAUUAAUAUGGGCUUUUUAAUGUAUUUAUCAGUGUUGACGUCAUACUCAUGCCUGCAAUGAUGUGAAUCAGAAUAAUGCUGGAGAUAUUUUCGGAUACGAUAUAAAAAACAUAAACUCUUGUGUCAGUCUGUGUAAUGGUUAGUUGAUGUGAGAAUGAAAUAAGUUUGGCAGGAUAGACUAAGGCUUGUCUUGUGUUUAUGACAGGAACACAAUGUCCGUUGUAUCUCCAGAGACGCCGCCCAGCGAUGACAGCACAAGAAUGUUGUUGGUCUCCCGCAACUUCAGCUUAAAUCCCAGAGGAGCAUGUUUAAAAACAACUGAUCAAGACAACUGAUCAAACUGUACCUUUAUUGCAUGCAGUGUAAAUCUUUAUCAACUAUAACAUGAAAUUGACAUACACAUGAUAUUGUUUUAAAAACAAACCACAAAAGUACAUUAUUGCAAGAUAUUUCUAAGCAAAUAAAACAAUGAACCAUCA